UACGUAGGGGGCUAGCGUUGUCCGGAAUCAUUGGGCGUAAAGCGCGCGUAGGCGGCCCGGUAAGUCCGCUGUAAAAGUCAAAGGCUCAACCUUUGAAUGUCAGUGGAUACUGCCGGGCUCGAGUCCGGAAGAGGCGAGUGGAAUUCCCGGUGUAGCGGUGAAAUGCGCAGAUAUCGGGAGGAACACCAAUGGCGAAGGCAGCUCGCUGGGACGUGACUGACGCUGAGACGCGAAAGCGUGGGGAGCAAACAGG
rnacentral:rRNA from 1 species